GAAUCUUGCUAAUCUGAUUCUGGUGUGUCCCAGGUAUUAACCAUGGCCCUGUCAUAGCUGGUGUGAUUGGAGCUCAGAAGCCACAGUAUGACAUCUGGGGCAACACCGUCAACGUGGCCAGCAGGAUGGACAGCACCGGAGUCCUGGACAAAAUCCAGGUGACAGAGGAGACGAGCGUCAUCCUACAGACCCUGGGCUACACGUGCACGUGUCGGGGGAUCAUCAACGUGAAAGGAAAGGGGGACCUGAAGACCUACUUCGUCAACACAGAGAUGUCACGGUCCCUUUCUCAGAGCAACCUGACCUCCUGAAGCCUCGCCUUUGGUUCUGGUGAGAGGACUGUACCUUCGGGACGAUGACGAUGCACUUUCUGACUGCCACUCGCGUCCCUGUCUGUGGUGUGUGUGCGUGCUCUGUCCUGUCCUCUGGAGCCUCUGCGGACUCCUUCCUGUGACCUGGCGGCCUGCCGUUCGGUGUCUGACGUGUGCCAGGAUCGCCCUGCCACUUCCACUGUGCUUACUCCUAGCAGAAGGGAAAGGAGCGCGCGUUACCGCAGAAGAGCCUUCAGCGAAGCUGAUGGAGAGGGGAGGGGGAAACAGACAAAAAUUCUUAAGGCAAUAAAACUAGGGGAGGGGGGGUGUAUAUUAUCUUCCGGUGCAUGUUCUUUUCUGGAAAAUAUGGUAGCUCGCCAACCGCAUCCGCUAGUCUGAUACUAAAACACACAGUACUUGUGACUAAGUUGACUCUGUCACCCCACCUGGAAUCCGCCGUGUUCGCCCACGUGUCUCAUUGCAGUGACUGUCCACGGGCCCAGCCGGUUCCGGGGGCCCCCGUCACCCUGCUCCAUCGUGUUUUGUGCCAGCGACACCUCCCCAUCCAUCACCAGAAUUAGUUCUUACAACCUAGGACUAGUUUUGUACCAGACGCGUCUGAUGUUUUGAUGCCAUUGUCUUUUGUAAGGUUAAUUCAUUAAAAGUUUUAUGUACUUUG